GGGGGUAUAGCUCAGUGGUAAAGCAUUUGACUGCAGAUCGAGAGGUCCGUGGUUCAACUCUGUGUGCCCCCU